UUCGGCAAGCUACCUGUGCAUGUGAUUCCACUGCAACCUGACCCAUUCUCAGCCUCCUUCCAACACUCACCUCAAGAGAGACCUUCUAUACUGGAAAAAUGAAGUCUCACAAAAUCCAACAGGAGCUCCGAGGGGGAGGCACAUCCAAGCUCCACAGCUAAAGCCUGGCAAAAAGAAUGAGCUUCCCUGCUGCCUUGAAAAUGAUGGAUGUACACAGAGGCUUUACAGAACUUACAGCCCUAUGAUCCCCCAUGCUGUGCCCCGGAGCCCUGCACACAAGGAAUUAACCAGAUCAAAUAUUUUUGACCUUUUGAUGAGUGGAAAAUGUUGGGAUUUUUUUCUGUCAAUCCUUAGACCUGAGAAAAAAGUUGAGGUCAUAUCCAGCAGGGAGCAUGCUUUCUAUGUGGCAGAAGUAAAAAACCAAUUUUGCAAAGCUUGGAGUUGAAGCUCUUGAAGAUGCCUGCCAUUAGAAGAUGCAAGGCUGAGGUUAUGUAAGUGUGCUGGCCAAAUCCAGUUGUUCCAGGAAGUCCAACAACAGCUACUCUGCUCUGCUCCUAACCCUCCUCUGUAAAGGGUACCAGAACAGAAAGGUAAAGAAGGAUGGAUAUUUGCCCUUGAUGACACUUGAGUGCUUUGACAGUGACAUAACACUUCACAGGCAUCUCUAUUUUAUAUAUUGAAGAGAGACAGCUCAUCAGAUACACAAACUAUAAAUCUAAACUGUAAAUUCUUCCUAUCCAGAUGUCUGUUACACUCACCCCAAAAAAAUUAUAUGAAAAAAAAUAUUAUUUUUGUCCUCUUCUGUGCUUUUUACUUAUUAAAAUGUAAAAUUUGAGACAUUUGAUUGAGAUGUUAGAUUCUUAACACACUGAAUAUCUUUUGUUACAACAAAGUGAACUCCCUAAAAAUUUUAACUCAAAGCCAACAGGUAAGGUUCAGCUGGAAGGGACUCUGACAUUGACUCCCUGUAUAACCUUAAGGAAAUCUCUUUUUUCUUGUGUUCCUCCACUGGGAGCUAUUAGAGUCAAUUCAUUAAUGUGCACAAAUGUGAUUUAAGACCAUCAGACAGAAAAUAUUAAAGGAAAACCACUGUCAUCAUAGAUUUACAUUAAAUUAUCUUAAUAAACUGAAUACUAUGCUGUCUUUAGUUACAAAGUUAAAAAAAAGGUAGGCAGGCAGAGUCACACUAUCCUAUAACUAACAGGGCAGGGAGAUCUGUGACAGGAGAUGGACAGUUUCACAACAACUAAAACUUCAGAGGCUUUCUGCAAAACUACAGGUGAAAGCAAUGACAUGUUUCAUUUAGAGGCUUCCUAAUACUGUUUGUCUGGGAAAAAAAAAAACACAAACAAACCAAAAACCAGAAGAGAAAGAAGGUAGCAAUUACUAUUGGGGAAAAUAUAAAAGAUGACUGCUGUGUGUGUGUCAGGCAUUGGGGAAAAUUACUACUUUGUCUUUAGCAGAGAGAUGACAUUAUCCCUGCAGCCAAACAGAAGCUACACUGUAAAUGCAAAGUUCAGAUAUAUUCAACAAGAAGAGGUGAGAAAUCCAGCUGGAUUAGAAACAGAGCCAUUCCCAAGCUAAUUUGGAUAAAGAAGUUUUGCUAACAGUCUAGGCUGCAUACAGCAGUUUACUAGUCACUUAGAAGAGGUGGUGGUACCAUCCCCAUUUUGGAAGCUCUAGCAGGUUGGUGAUGGGAACCACCCAGGAUGACGAUGGGAAGCUGAGUGGUCACAAGCACAAGAGAGAUAGUUGGCACUGGGCUUUUUGCAUGUAUUUAAAUGAAUGAUAGCCCUGUGCUGCCAAAUGGAGAGACUGUACUUUCCUGUUUGGGAAUAGAUUCCAGGAUUGGAAUGGUCUACAAUGACCCAGUAGGCAUAUCCCAAAUAAAAUGAUGGCUUAUUGGGUAUGUGAGCUUUUCACAUUUAUGCCUGGAUUUCUCUAUAUGACUGCUGGCUUGGAGGGAAAGACC